rnacentral:sRNA from 1 species
GCAAUAGAAAGGCUUGUAAGGGCGGCCGGCUAAUCUCCCGGAAGGGAGGUGAUGCCAUGGAGGUUUAUCAAGCGUUGUCACUGAUGUUCAUGUUCGGCAUGUUCAUUAUUGCUCUGCUGAAUUACCUCAAAAAGAAAUAGGCCGCCCUCUGACCGGGUCGCGGCCUAUUUCUUGUAGGUAAACCGUGUUAAAGCCGAACCGCCCUUAAAAGCGGCUAUUGCUUGGAGAGUCGUGUUCGCGCACGGCUC